AGGGUUUGAUUAUGGCUCAGGAUGAACGCUAGCGGCAGGCUUAACACAUGCAAGUCGAGGGGUAACAGGGAUUGCUUGCAAUCCGCUGACGACCGGCGCACGGGUGCGUAACGCGUAUGCAACCUACCUUUUACAAGGGGAUAGCCCAGAGAAAUUUGGAAUAAUACCCUAUACGAUCAUUAAUUGGCAUCAAUUAAUGAAGAAAACUCCGGUGGUAAAAGAUGGGCAUGCGUCCUAUUAGUUAGUUGGUAAGGUAACGGCUUACCAAGACUUCGAUAGGUAGGGGUCCUGAGAGGGAGAUCCCCCACACUGGUACUGAGACACGGACCAGACUCCUACGGGAGGCAGCAGUGAGGAAUAUUGGACAAUGGAGGCAACUCUGAUCCAGCCAUGCCGCGUGCAGGAAGACGGCCCUACGGGUUGUAAACUGCUUUUAUACAGGAAGAACUAUAUCUACGUGUAGAUAUUUGACGGUACUGUACGAAUAAGGAUCGGCUAACUCCGUGCCAGCCGCCGCGGUAAUUC
rnacentral:rRNA from 1 species